rnacentral:rRNA from 1 species
GACGAACGCUGGCGGCGUGCUUAACACAUGCAAGUCGAACGGAAAGGCCCUGCUUUUGUGGGGUGCUCGAGUGGCGAACGGGUGAGUAACACGUGAGUAACCUGCCCUUGACUUUGGGAUAACUUCAGGAAACUGGGGCUAAUACCGGAUAGGAGCUCCUGCUGCAUGGUGGGGGUUGGAAAGUUUCGGCGGUUGGGGAUGGACUCGCGGCUUAUCAGCUUGUUGGUGGGGUAGUGGCUUACCAAGGCUUUGACGGGUAGCCGGCCUGAGAGGGUGACCGGCCACAUUGGGACUGAGGUACGGCCCAGACUCCUACGGGAGGCAGCAGUGGGGAAUAUUGCACAAUGGGCGGAAGCCUGAUGCAGCAACGCCGCGUGCGGGAUGACGGCCUUCGGGUUGUAAACCUCUUUCGCCGGUGACGAAGCGUGAGUGACGGUAAUGGGUAAAGAAGCACCGGCUAACUACGUG